rnacentral:sRNA from 1 species
AAUAAUAUUGAUAAUAAAAUAGAGAGAACUAUAUUUAUUUGGUCUGGAAAUGCUGGAGAAAAGGAUGGGCGUUCUUAAAAUUAUAAUUCAAUCGACAGCUUUUAUUCCGUUUUGGUUUCUCAAUUGCUAUAAAUAUCUCUUUGUAUAUUUAUAGCGGAGACUCCAAUAUAAGUGACAAUUGCAAGGUUGGCCUUGAAAUAUGUAGUUAAUUUAAACACUUUUAAAUAUCAGGGAUGGGGGGUUUGAAAUGUAUUAUUAUUAGAACAGGGGCUUACGCGUUCAAUUUAUCAGUUGAAUUAAUAACUCACAUGCAGUUCUGCACGCAACUUACACAUAUAACUCACCAGGUCCUAUUUACGGGUAUAAGAGGGACAAACAUUCAGGAGCUCCUUUUUAAAUAAUUGUAUAGGAUAUACAAUAAUACCACUUCUACCCGCAAGAACGUUGCGUAUAUCCAUCGAUAUACGGAAAACUUGUAACCAAUUAUUAUAUAUGAGUUAAGACGAUAAAAAAGGGGUUAAUAAAGUUUGUAGAAAUAAACCUUUAUAAAAACUGUAAUUUACUGCUAAAGUUUGAAAUUCGGCAAGAGUAGAUGCGAAAUACUUAUAAAUAUAAUAUAUAUAUAUUAUACUUGUUUCCAAUAAUAGGGGUUAAAACCCAGGUAAACUUUAAAUAUUCCAACUUUACCUUGGUAACCGCGCAGCACCUGGGAUUAUACAGCGAACUUACUAGCCCCGGAUUUAAACGAGUUUUUUCUACAGGUAACUUGUUAUGCUUUUUUUAUUUUUUUCAAAGCUUUUUGGAGUAUUUAAUAGAUUUACUUUGUGCUAUAUAUACCUGGCUUAUAUUACUCUUUUACAUUACUUAAUAUAUUAAUUUGGCCUAAUAUAUUUAUCUUUUGAGAUAAUAGAGUAAUUUGUUAAGGUUUUCAGAAGUUAAAAUUCGAGCAGCAAUUAAACUUUUUAUAAUUAAAGGUUUAAAUUACAUAUUGUCCAGAAUAUUUAAAAAAAGAUUAUGUAGUGCAAAACGACUUUUUUAAAAAUUAUAGUGCAAAGAUAAUUUUUGAAGUUAGAAGGAUUAAUUAAAAAGAAUUAAUCAUUAUUUGGGAAAUAAUAAAAAAACACUUUAGUAAUUAUAUUACUUUAUAAUACCGUAUCUAAAUAACUUUUAAUUAUAUCGGCGGUAUUUAUUUUUAGCAAAUACCGUUUGCAGGGCCUUAACUUUAACUAUCCUCCAUCGCACCAGCCCAACCAUUCAAUUUCUGGAAAAAAACAUAUAAUACACCAAUCUUCCCGACCUAUUGACGUAGGGUAUGACAUCCAAAACCAAGUUUAUCUCCAAUAUUUCCAAUUUUGCCGCUCUAACACUGUCUGACAAUUUUCAAGUACAACUUAUACUUUCCUCGCACGUAUGCCCCCAUUCUGGCUUAUGGUGUUCUCACAAACUUGAGACUAUAUUUGCUAACUUGGUUGCAAUAAAUCAGGAAAAUGUAUAAAAGUUUUUUCAUUCCUGCUGCCCUGGCAAUCCUCCAGGCUCACGCCGCGACGGCUCGACUUUGCACCGUUCAAAUUAUGCGGGACGACUAUGUUCAUAUUGUCGCUCAUAAGAACAUCGGGUUCCCCAAACCGACGACAAAGCCCUUCCACUUCAAAUGGAAGAUUCACGGUGUUACAUAUAACGUUGAAGUAUUGUACGAGCAAUGUGAAGCGAAAAUUUAUAAGGAGCCGGCCCUGCCUGACGGCCUGGUUAUUAAGGGUCAUAUUAAGGGAUCGCAUGUUUAAAAUGUAAAAUUGUUGGAAUAGAAGGGAUUGGGUUCAAUUCAUCAAUUCAAUCGAUAACUCACGUGCGGACCCGCACGUGACUCAUCCGAUCCUCAAUCACGGGUAUAAAAGGAUAAAAACGAUUAGAAGUUCGAACGUAAACAAAUUAGUCGUUAAACAAAAAUAUA